rfam:Geobacter sp. FRC-32, complete genome.
UUCAUGUAUCAUCUCCGAGCCGUGCAGCCUAACAGGUUCCCUCAUGGUGCCCGGCCUACGGGUUUCGCUGGAAACGGCGGGGCCUCCCUUUCGGAAAGGAGUAAGCAAGCCCUUG